ensembl:lncRNA
GUUGGGAUAGUGACUGUGGAAGCAUGACCGAAGCGCUGGAGUUGAAGCCCAUUCAAGUUGUCUGUUACAACAAUAACGUCUCGAGUGACCAAACUAAUGAGGUGAUUCCAGGGAAUGGUGCUUGCUCAGACCACCUUAGAUCAGAGAGAAAUGAAGUGUCCCCUCUUCUAUCAACACCACAGGUCACUGAGAAAAAUAGGGAACAGCACCUCCAUGUUGAUGGAGGUGUCGAUACUGACUCUCUAACUCAACCCAAGUGCCAAAGGGAGUUGCGGAGGGUCAAGAGAGAAUUGAAUGAGGUGGUGGUGUGGAAACUCAAACUAUGGACAGUGCUGCUUAUCAUCUUUCUUGCCAUUGCUCUGGUUAUUGGGAUCUCAAUUAUUGUGUGUUCAGGUACUGAUGCUCCAUUCAGAUUCUUUGUCUACUGUGAAUGCUAUUGA